rnacentral:rRNA from 1 species
GAUGAACGCUGGCGGCGUGCCUAAUACAUGCAAGUCGAGCGAACAGACGAGGAGCUUGCUCCUCUGACGUUAGCGGAGGACGGGUGAGUAACACGUGGAUAACCUACCUAUAAGACUGGGAUAACUUCGGGAAACCGGCGCUAAUACCGGAUAAUAUAUUGAACCGCAUGGUUCAAUAGUGAAAUACGGUUUUGCUGUCACUUAUAGAUGGUUCCGCGCCGCAUUAGCUAGUUGGUAAGGUAACGGCUUAUCAAGGCGACGAUGCGUAGCCGACCUGAGAGGGGGGUAGGCGACAUGGGAGCGUAGACAGGGACAAUGGGACUACGAUACGGAGCAGAAGCGUACGGGCGGCAAUAGUCGGAAGCAUUGCGGAGUGACCGCAAGUGAGUGGUGGCGGUCUUGCGAGCGUAAAGAUGGCUUAUUAGUGAAGAACAGAUUUGGAAGUAAAUAUGCACGGCUUGACGGUACCGAGUCAGAAAGCCACGGCUAACUACGUG